UACGUAGGGGGCGAGCGUUGUCCGGAUUUAUUGGGCGUAAAGAGCUCGUAGGCGGUUCGAUAAGUCGGACGUGAAAUCUCCACGCUCAACGUGGAGGGGCCGUUCGAUACUGUCGUGACUCGAGUCCGGUAGGGGAGUGUGGAAUUCCCGGUGUAGCGGUGAAAUGCGCGGAGAUCGGGAGGAACACCCGUAGCGAAGGCGGCACUCUGGGCCGGUACUGACGCUGAGGAGCGAAAGCGUGGGGAGCAAACAGG
rnacentral:rRNA from 1 species